rnacentral:lncRNA from 1 species
UUUCUGAUGCUUCUGAACACUGGAUCCCAGCACUGACCCACCUUAGAGGCAGAAGAGCUGAAUUGACCAGAGAAAUACCACAUGAAGUGUAAGCUAGGAGCAGGUUGUAUUUGACUUGUUUCCAAUCUUGUCCCUAAGAGCCUUUACUUCUAAUUAGUCUUUACUAAUUUGAUGUUUCCUUUGUUGUACUAUGUUACCAGGCUUGUGUUGCACUAAAAUAAAUCUAAGUGGAACUGAGAGAAAUGCUUUGAAAUCUGCAUGGAGCAGUAUGCCAAAGCAGCUCAAGAGACCCCAAACCCAGGGCAUGUUACGAGAAUUAUGGGUCUGGACAGCAUUUUCUGUCAAGCUACGAAGCCCUGUAUGGGAACUACCAUUCUGGUGUCCCCAUAGAACCCCUGGGAAUGGCAGUGGGAGAGAAGCAUGCAUAUUUAUCUGCAGCUGGCAGCAAAAGCCCUGAUCACUUCUUGUCAUACAGCAUAUUCAUGCUUCCAGUCUGAAGUAUUUUCAUCCUUCAGCUGUCUAUGGAUCACCUUACGCGACUACAGCAGCUGCAGAACACCACCUAGUGGUGCUACGCACUCCCUCCAGCUAAUUAAAUACAUGGAACUUCCUUCGUGUCUCUUCCAUUCAGUUUAUUUCUAAAAACUGCAGCCACCACAAGGGGAAAUUCUGGCCCGGUCAGAACUAUCAGGGUCUUUGCACGCUGGACAAUUAAACAUAAUGGUGAAUAUGCCUGACAGGAUGCAGCCAUCGUGGCCCCCCUUCAGCAGCAGAGCUACAGGUAGGUGCUUGGCAAUUUUAGGUUUGGGGUUAUGAGGAUGUGUGCUUUUGGGGUAUGAUUCUAUGUAUGUGGAAAAUCUUGGCCAACACCUUUUUCCUAUGCUAGCCUGAAGACAUUGUUUUAAAUUAAAUUCCUCCCUGCAUUUAGCCUUCUGGGUGAAACAGGUAUGCAAGUAUGCCUAGAAAAAAAAUGGAUUUAAAUAUGAAUGUAUAAUAAUUUGGUUCUCUGUAUUUUACAGCUUCUCUCUUCAGUCUCCUGAAAGAUUUAAAAUUGAAGCUGAUGAAUUUCAAAUGAGUCCAUCUCUUAUAUUUGUCAUUUUCCAAGACAUUCUUGGCGUGCUUACACAGUAAUGAACCUGUAAUGCUAUUUCAAGCUGAUCCAACAAACCCUCAAGAUUGUGCACUUUGGACCUAACAAAUGUUUAUAUGUUUUCUUCAACAGAUAAUGAGAUAUGGAAAUGGAAAAAAAAAAAAUGUUUUCUGAGAUGAUUUUUUCCUAACUUUGGAUAUAAAGUAAAAAGGAAUAGGACUUUUAUUAAACUUAUUUUCAACAGGCACUAAUCUCUAGAAAAAGAAACUUUUUUUUUCUAAGGUAAGCAAGGUACGAAUAGCACUUUAGGCUAGUCAGUUAAAAUACCAACAUACAUGUAGUAUGAAAAUAGUGGAAUCCUGGAAUA